rnacentral:rRNA from 1 species
GGAUUAGAUACCCUGGUAGUCCACGCCGUAAACGAUGAGUGCUAGAUAUCGGGAGUAUAACUUUCGGUUUCGCAGCUAACGCAUUAAGCACUCCGCCUGGGGAGUACGGCCGCAAGGUUAAAACUCAAAGGAAUUGACGGGGGCCCGCACAAGUGGUGGAGCAUGCGGUUUAAUUCGAUGCUACGCGAAGAACCUUACCAACCCUUGACAUGGUAGUCGCGGAUCGUAGAGAUACUUUCCUUCAGUUCGGCUGGACUACACACAGGUGUUGCAUGGCUGUCGUCAGCUCGUGCCG